AUUUGCAGUAAGAAGGGACAGAAUGCCACUGGAAAUGUAGGAAGGAACCAUAUCUACCAGAAAUGGUUUGGAGGAUAUGGCAGAGAGCAAAACAACCCUUUCCUCCUGGAGCUUGCUUUCCAGAAGAUAAGACACAGAUAAGAAAUCAGAAGAGUGCAUCGUGGUGGUCUACAGGAAGUAGAGAUAGGGCAUUCUGAGAUACCCAGAUCAUCAGGGUAUCACAUUUGUAGUUCACCCUUGCCUGGAACUGACUGUGUAGACCAGACUCGCCUCGAACUCAUGGCAAUCCUGCCUCAGCAUCCUGUGCACCAACAUACCUGGCUGCUUUCAUUAUAUUGAGCAAUAACUAAAUGUCCAUUGAAUUUAAAAUAUAUAUAAAAUACCCUAUAUGUGAAUUAGA